CGAAUGCUGACAUAAGUAACGAUAAAGCGGGUGAAAAGCCCGCUCGCCGGAAGACCAAGGGUUCCUGUCCAACGUUAAUCGGGGCAGGGUGAGUCGACCCCUAAGGCGAGGCCGAAAGGCGUAGUCGAUGGGAAACAGGUUAAUAUUCCUGUACUUGGUGUUACUGCGAAGGGGGGACGGAGAAGGCUAUGUUGGCCGGGCGACGGUUGUCCCGGUUUAAGCGUGUAGGCUGGUUUUCCAGGCAAAUCCGGAAAAUCAAGGCUGAGGCGUGAUGACGAGGCACUACGGUGCUGAAGCAACAAAUGCCCUGCUUCCAGGAAAAGCCUCUAAGCAUCAGGUAACAUCAAAUCGUACCCCAAACCGACACAGGUGGUCAGGUAGAGAAUACCAAGGCGCUUGAGAGAACUCGGGUGAAGGAACUAGGCAAAAUGGUGCCGUAACUUCGGGAGAAGGCACGCUGAUAUGUAGGUGAAGCGACUUGCUCGUGGAGCUGAAAUCAGUCGAAGAUACCAGCUGGCUGCAACUGUUUAUUAAAAACACAGCACUGUGCAAACACGAAAGUGGACGUAUACGGUGUGACGCCUGCCCGGUGCCGGAAGGUUAAUUGAUGGGGUUAGCGCAAGCGAAGCUCUUGAUCGAAGCCCCGGUAAACGGCGGCCGUAACUAUAACGGUCCUAAGGUAGCGAAAUUCCUUGUCGGGUAAGUUCCGACCUGCACGAAUGGCGUAAUGAUGGCCAGGCUGUCUCCACCCGAGACUCAGUGAAAUUGAACUCGCUGUGAAGAUGCAGUGUACCCGCGGCAAGACGGAAAGACCCCGUGAACCUUUACUAUAGCUUGACACUGAACAUUGAGCCUUGAUGUGUAGGAUAGGUGGGAGGCUUUGAAGUGUGGACGCCAGUCUGCAUGGAGCCGACCUUGAAAUACCACCCUUUAAUGUUUGAUGUUCUAACGUGGACCCGUAAUCCGGGUUGCGGACAGUGUCUGGUGGGUAGUUUGACUGGGGCGGUCUCCUCCUAAAGAGUAACGGAGGAGCACGAAGGUUGGCUAAUCCUGGUCGGACAUCAGGAGGUUAGUGCAAUGGCAUAAGCCAGCUUGACUGCGAGCGUGACGGCGCGAGCAGGUGCGAAAGCAGGUCAUAGUGAUCCGGUGGUUCUGAAUGGAAGGGCCAUCGCUCAACGGAUAAAAGGUACUCCGGGGAUAACAGGCUGAUACCGCCCAAGAGUUCAUAUCGACGGCGGUGUUUGGCACCUCGAUGUCGGCUCAUCACAUCCUGGGGCUGAAGUAGGUCCCAAGGGUAUGGCUGUUCGCCAUUUAAAGUGGUACGCGAGCUGGGUUUAGAACGUCGUGAGACAGUUCGGUCCCUAUCUGCCGUGGGCGCUGGAGAACUGAGGGGGGCUGCUCCUAGUACGAGAGGACCGGAGUGGACGCAUCACUGGUGUUCGGGUUGUCAUGCCAAUGGCACUGCCCGGUAGCUAAAUGCGGAAGAGAUAAGUGCUGAAAGCAUCUAAGCACGAAACUUGCCCCGAGAUGAGUUCUCCCUGACUCCUUGAGAGUCCUGAAGGAACGUUGAAGACGACGACGUUGAUAGGCCGGGUGUGUAAGCGCAGCGAUGCGUUGAGCUAACCGGUACUAAUGAACCGUGAG
rnacentral:rRNA from 1 species